UAAUGAUGAAAAUAAUGAUGUUGAUGAUGAUAAUGAUGAUGACUGAAUGGUGACAAGGAGAAGAAAUGAUUAAAAUUACUUAGGAAGUUGUAAGUAAGUCAAGAUGAGAACAACGCGUGCAAAUACAAAGUUUCUGUAUCCCUUGUAAUCCCUUCCCCUCGUCCUUCUUCCCCUCCUCUUCGUCGUCAUUGUCAUCAUCAUCAUCAUUAUUAUUG
rnacentral:pre_miRNA from 1 species